rnacentral:tRNA from 1 species
AAUGAAUUGCCUGAUAAAAGGGUUACCUUGAUAGGGUAAAUAAUGUAAAUUUUUAUACAUUCAUUA